AUGCCAGCCAGAUUCCCCGUAUCUCCCCCGCUCCCUCCCCCCACCCCUACCGAGGCUGGCCUGGAAACACAGCAGCCAGUGACCACAGAGCUGGACAGAAAAGAACCCGUGGAGCCUGGCUUGGUCCUACCACCAGAAACCAUGUUUGAAGAACUCUCCCUGAUCACACUGGUGAAGACUGGCAAGGAGCAAAGGGGAAGAGGCAGAGACAUGGCAAUGCUGCUUCUCACAUUUACAGAUGGUGACGGUGGUUUGUGGGGACUUUAAUCAACUUUCCCCAUGUUACUCACCUAGUAAGUACCUGAGCCAGGGACUGAACCUGGGUCAACAAGGCUCCAAAACACUGUUUCCAUUCUACCACACUGCUCCUCAGAGGCAGGAAAAUCCCAUUAAAUGCAAAUUUGGGGCAAAAAUGAUGGCCAGAUUUUGUGUGAAUGGAUAGAAUCUUAUAUGACUCACUAAAUGGGUCUGGCAGUGUGACCUUGGAAGGAAGGACAAGAUAAGUGAAGAACUUCCUGAAAUCAUCAAGGGCACGAAGGACCAAUAUUUACUCUGUGCACGGGACCAUCCUAGAUGUUUUGAAGGAGACACAGGGCAUCCUAGAAGGUCACACUCAAGAAGCACUCCCUUCGCUGAAGGGAAAAGUUAUGCCUUAUAAUAGGGCACCUCCUGGAAACAGAAUGCAUUCAAACUACAAUUAAG
rnacentral:lncRNA from 1 species